rnacentral:rRNA from 1 species
UACGGGGGGUGCGAGCGUUGUCCGGAAUCACUGGGCGUAAAGGGCGCGUAGGUGGUCUGAUAAGGGUGUGGUGAAAGUCCGGGGCUCAACCCCGGAUCUGCCGUGCCGACUGUCAGACUCGAGGACUGUAGAGGCAGGCGGAAUUCCGGGUGUAGCGGUGGAAUGCGUAGGAGAUCCGGAGGAAGACCGGUGGCGAAGGCGGCCUCUGGGGCAGUUUC